AGUGAACGCUGGCGGUAGGCCUAACACAUGCAAGUCGAACGGCAGCACAGUAAGAGCUUGCUCUUACGGGUGGCGAGUGGCGGACGGGUGAGGAAUACAUCGGAAUCUACUUUUUCGUGGGGGAUAACGUAGGGAAACUUACGCUAAUACCGCAUACGACCUACGGGUGAAAGCAGGGGAUCUUCGGACCUUGCGCGAUUGAAUGAGCCGAUGUCGGAUUAGCUAGUUGGCGGGGUAAAGGCCCACCAAGGCGACGAUCCGUAGCUGGUCUGAGAGGAUGAUCGGCCACACUGGAACUGAGACACGGUCCAGACUCCUACGGGAGGCAGCAGUGGGGAAUAUUGGACAAUGGGCGCAAGCCUGAUCCAGCCAUACCGCGUGGGUGAAGAAGGCCUUCGGGUUGUAAAGCCCUUUUGUUGGGAAAGAAAAGCAGCAGGUUAAUACCCCGCUGUUCUGACGGUACCCAAAGAAUAAGCACCGACUAACUUCGUG
rnacentral:rRNA from 1 species